rfam:Sediminibacillus halophilus strain CGMCC 1.6199 genome assembly, contig: Ga0079860_108
UGAGGCAAGCAGAAGCACCCGCUUCUCACCUGAUCGACGCAUUUUGCAGUUGGCAGGUUACAACAUCCUUAUUGUAUGGGAAGAUGUGUGGGUGCAGUAUGUACCGACAUUUUUUUUAUGCU